GCCGGCAGCUAGCUCUUUGCAACUCUCACAUGGUCGCCCACUGAAGCGAAGCAGGGCUGCGCCCGGUCAGUACCUGGAUGGGAGACCAAAUAGGAAAGCUAGGUUGCUGCCGGAA
rfam:Danio rerio chromosome 8, GRCz11 reference primary assembly.